ACGGGGCGCCAAGGCCGGAAAACUUUACCAUGUCGGGCAACCGGUGAUAAGGAAACCCCGAGUGCCAGCAUAGGCUGGCUGUCCGCCAGUUUAAAAAACUGGUGAAGAAAGGGCCGGGCAAGACCGGUGCCAGCCGCCGCGGUAAUACCGGCGGCUCGAGUGGUGGCCACUAUUACUGGGCUUAAAGGGUCCGUAGCUUGAUAUGCAAGUCUUUUGAGAAAUCCGCCAGCUUAACUGGCGGGCGUUCAGGGGAAACUGCAUUUCUUGGGACCGGGAGAGGUGAGAGGUACUGCCGGGGUAGGAGUGAAAUCCUGUAAUCCCGGUGGGACCACCUAUAGCGAAGGCAUCUCACCAGAACGGGUCCGACAGUGAGGGACGAAAGCUGGGGGAGCAAACCGGAUUAGAUACCCGGGUAGUCCCAGCUGUAAACGAUGCGCGUUAGGUGUGUCGGUGACCACGUGUCACCGAGGUGCCGAAGGAAACCGUGAAACGCGCCGCCUGGGGAGUACGGUCGCAAGGCUGAAACUUAAAGGAAUUGGCGGGGGAGCACCACAACGGGUGGAGCCUGCGGUUUAAUCGGACUCAACGCCGGAAAUCUCACCGGAUAAGACAGCUGAAUGAUAGUCGGGAUGAAGACUCUACUUGACUAGCUGAGAGGAGGUGCAUGGCCGUCGUCAGUUCGUACUGUGAAGCAUCCUGUUUAGUCAGGCAACGAGCGAGACCCACGCGAGCAGUUGCCAGCUUGACCUUCGGGUUGAUGGGGACACUGCUCGGACCGCCUCUGCUAAAGGGGAGGAAGGAAUGGGCAACGGUAGGUCAGCAUGCCCCGAAUUAUCCGGGCUACACGCGGGCUACAAUGGAUAGGACAAUGGGUUUCGACACCGAGAGGUGAGGACAAUCUCCUAAACCUAUCCGAAGUUCGGAUUGCGGGUUGUAACUCACCCGCAUGAAGCUGGAAUCCGUAGUAAUCGCGUUUCAACAUAGCGCGGUGAAUAUGUCCCUGCUCCUUGUACACACCGCCCGUCA
rnacentral:rRNA from 1 species